rnacentral:lncRNA from 10 species
AUUUCACAAGUCUUGUUCAUUGAACUUAUUGCAUAAAGCCUCAUGAUUUUAUUGAGCAAAGAAGACUUUUGCUCCAGUUUCUGGAGAGAACCCCACUGGAAGAUUCUUUUGUAUUUCAGUCUCACUCCAUGGAAUACUGAAUGUUGUCUGAUUGAUACAGUUCCAGAAAAGUUCUGUGCUUGCAUUUGGCCGGACUCUUGAUCUAACUCUUUUGGCCCUGCUUGCUUUCAAGAGAAGCACUUUUCCUGCUCUUCUGCUGCUCCUCUGUGAUUUAUUUCAGGCAAGAACCCUGAAACACACGGUAGGAACAAAAGAUAGAAAGAAGAGUCUUGGGGGGUGGAGCCAAGAUGGCCGAAUAGGAACAGCUCUGGUCUACAGCUCCCAGCAUGAGCGACACAAAAGACAGGUGAUUUCUGCAUUUCCAUCUGAGGUACUGGGUUCAUCUCACUAGGGAGUGCCAGACAGUGGGUGCAGGACAGUGGGUGCAGAGCACCAUGUGUGAGCCGAAGCAGGGCAAGGCAUUGCCUCACUCAGGAAGCAGGGUCAGGGAGUUCCCUUUCCUAGUCAAAGAAAGGGGUGACAGACAGCACCUGGAAAAUUGGGUCACUUCCACCCUAAUACUGCGCUUUUCCAACGGGCUUAAAAAACGGCACACCAGGAGAUUAUAUCCCGCACAUGGCUGGGAGGGUCCUAUGCCCACGAAGUCUCCUGAUCGCUAGCACAGCAGUCUGAGAUCAAACUGCAAGGUG